AGCGGUUCAGACCACGUGUCAAUCAGUCACUGUCUUCUCUUUCCUUCUCCACAUCUUCUCCUCGUCUCUUACAGAAGCUGGAGUUCGGUAAUAAGUCUAGCUUUAGCUUCCUCCACUCUCUCUCCAUCUCCUUCCAUUAGGAGAAUGGUGGUGGUCUGACAAAUUGGACCUUAUUCCUUGUGUAUGUUUACUGAAAUCAAUAUAUCUUGCGAUUAUGGAGCUCUAAUCUCCAUUUUUUUCUUAUGAGUCUAAUGCCUCUCCUGGAUUUAAAGCCAAUGGAACAUCUGAGAGGCAAAGAUGUUGUUGUUUGCACUCCUCCACCACGUCUUCCUGUGCAAAGAAUAAUGGUUAUUCCUGCUUCCGCUCCGUUCCAGAUGCUUUAGCUGUUAACUCUGAUGGUCGUUACUUGACGACUAGAGGAGUUGAUCGCCAUGUUCAUAAGGUCCAAUUUGUCUCAGCUUUUAUGAUUAUGUGUCUACAGGCCUUUACAGGUCACAGGAACAUCUGCCUCUGACUCUUUGCCUUCUAUAUAAUAUAUAUUCUGUAGUUUGUGUAUUGUGUUACAGGAAGGUAGAUAAGGCAGAGAAGCUUGAUGGAGGAGAAGGUGGCAAAAGGGGUGAGUCAUUAGUGGCGAGGACAUUAGGUGUUUAGAGUGGAGAAGGUCCAAGCUCCGGUAUGUGACUAGAAGACGGUGACGUUGGAGAUAGAACUUUGGGUUUAGAAUUUUAGGUGUAGGUUUAAUUGUUUUUAAAAAAAUUAGUUAAGUUUGAUAUACCUGUCAUAACUAUGUAACCAAUUUCAAUAUAUAAAAAAAUUAAUAUAAAUUUGUAUUUUUAUA